UUUAUUGGAUUCACGCCGGAAAUCUUACCGGGACCGACAGCGAUACCCCUUAUAGGGUGAAGAGCGUGCCGGAANAGCNGAGAGGGGGCGUUUGGCCGNCGNCAGNNCGNACGGNGAAGCANCCGGNNAAGNCAGGCAACGAGCGAGACCCACGCCCACAGUUGCCAGCGNACUCNCCGGAGNGANGGGNACACGGNGGGGACCGCCGCUGCUAAAGCGGAGGAAGGAAUGGGCAACGGUAGGUCAGUAUGCCCCGAAUAUCCCGGGCUACACGCGAGCUACAAUGGUUGGUACAAUGGGUAUCUACCCCGAGAGGGGAUGGCAAUCUCCUAAAACCAAUCUUAGUUCGGAUUGAGGGCUGCAACUCGCCCUCAUGAAGCUGGAAUCCGUAGUAAUCGCGUUUCAACAGAACGCGGUGAAUACGUCCCUGCUCCUUGCACACACCGCCCGUCAAACCACCCGAGUAGGGUCUGAAUGAGAGCGCUUACCAAUCGGAGGCGUUCGAAUUUGGGCUUUGCAAGGGGGGUUAAGUCGUAACAAGGUAACCAAGGGCGAAU
rnacentral:rRNA from 1 species